GACGAACGCUGGCGGCGUGCUUAACACAUGCAAGUCGAACGGAAAGGCCCCUUUGGGGGUACUCGAGUGGCGAACGGGUGAGUAACACGUGAGUAACCUGCCCUUGACUUCGGGAUAACUUCAGGAAACUGGGGCUAAUACCGGAUAGGAAUCCUUGCUGCAUGGUGGGGGUUGGAAAGCUUCGGCGGUUUUGGAUGGACUCGCGGCUUAUCAGCUUGUUGGUGGGGUAGUGGCUUACCAAGGCUUUGACGGGUAGCCGGCCUGAGAGGGCGACCGGCCACAUAGGGACUGAGAUACGGCCCAGACUCCUACGGGAGGCAGCAGUGGGGAAUAUUGCACAAUGGGCGGAAGCCUGAUGCAGCAACGCCGCGGGCGGGAUGACGGCCUUCGGGUUGUAAACCGCUUUCAGCAGGGGCGAAGCUUGUGGUGACGGUACCUGCAGAAGAAGCACCGGCUAACUACGUG
rnacentral:rRNA from 1 species